rnacentral:rRNA from 1 species
AGCGAACGCUGGCGGCAGGCCUAACACAUGCAAGUCGAACGGAUCCUUCGGGAUUAGUGGCGGAUGGGUGAGUAACACGUGGGAACGUGCCCUUUGGUUCGGAACAACUCAGGGAAACUUGAGCUAAUACCGGAUGUGCCCUUCGGGGGAAAGAUUUAUCGCCAUUGGAGCGGCCCGCGUCCGUUUAGCUUGUUGGUGAUGUAACGGCCCACCACGGCGACGAUAAGUAGCUGGUCUGAGAGGAUGAGCAGCCACACUGGGACUGAGACCCGGCCCAGACUCCUACGGGAGGCAGCAGUGGGGAAUCUUGCGCAAUGGGCGAAAGCAUGACGCAGCCAUGCCGCGUGAAUGAUGAAGGUCUUAGGAUUGUAAAAUUCUUUCAGCGGGGACGGUAAUGACGGUACCCGCAGAAGAAGCUCCGGCUAACUUCGUG